CAUGUACUCCCUCCGUCCGAAAAUACUUGUCAUCAAAAUGAAUAGAAAAGGAUGUAUCUAGAAUUAAAAUACAUCUAGAUACAUCCCAUUUUAUUCAUUUUGAUGACAAGUAUUUUUGGACAGAGGGAGUAUAUG
rfam:Triticum aestivum genome assembly, contig: Triticum_aestivum_CS42_TGACv1_scaffold_433221_5DL